rnacentral:rRNA from 1 species
GAUGAACGCUAGCGGCAGGCCUAAUACAUGCAAGUCGAGGGGUAGAAGAGGCUUGCUUCUUUGAGACCGGCGCACGGGUGCGUAACGCGUAUGCAACCUACCUUCAUCUGGGGGAUAGCCCGGAGAAAUCCGGAUUAAUACCGCAUAAAAUCACAGGAUGGCAUUAUCCAAUGAUCAAACAUUUAUGGGAUGGAGAUGGGCAUGCGUGUCAUUAGCUAGUUGGCGGGGUAACGGCCCACCAAGGCGACGAUGACUAGGGGAUCUGAGAAGAUGGCCCCCCACACUGGUACUGAGACACGGACCAGAAUCCUACGGGAGGCAGCAGUAAGGAAUAUUGGUCAAUGGAGGCAACUCUGAACCAGCCAUGCCGCGUGCAGGAAGACUGCCCUAUGGGUUGUAAACUGCCUUUAUUCGGGAAUAAACCUUGUUACGUGUAAUAAGCUGAAUGUACCGAAGGAAUAAGGAUCGGCUAACUCCGUGCCAGCCGCCGCGGUAACAC